rnacentral:rRNA from 1 species
GCGUUGUUCGGAUUUACUGGGCGUAAAGGGUGCGUAGGUGGCCAGGAAAGUUUGAUGUGAAAGCUCCGAGCUCAACUCGGAAAAUGCAUUGAAUACUACUUGGCUUGAGGAUCGGAGGGGAGACUGGAAUUCUCGGUGUAGCAGUGAAAUGCGUAGAUAUCGAGAGGAACACCAGUGGCGAAGGCGAGUCUCUGGACGAUUCCUGACACUGAGGCACGAAAGCUAGGGGAGCAAACAGGAUUAGAUACCCCGGUAGUCCUAACCGUAAACGGUGUGCACUAGUUGUCGGUCCGUUCUGACGGAUCGGUGACGUAGCUAAUGCGUUAAGUGCACCGCCUGGGUAGUACGAUCGCAAGGUUGAAACUCAAAGGAAUUGACGGGGGCCCGCACAAGCGGUGGAGCAUGUGGUUUAAUUCGAUGAUACGCGAGGAACCUUACCUGGGCUAGAAUGCCUUUGACAGCCCGUGAAAGCGGGUUUCCCUUCGGGGCAAAGUGCAAGGUGCUGCAUGGUU